AAAAGAGCCAUUUUCUGACCAGAGCAGAUCACAUUCUGGGUCCUUCUACCCUGCUUCAUGGCCUGGGAAGGGAACCUACAGAGCUGUGAGGCUGGAAGCAGCUGCAGGAGUCCCUAUCCCCACCCAUCAGCCGUUGCUGCUCAUUGGCCUGUGCUUGGACACUCUACUGCACAAAGAGAGGGCCCAGAACUCCCCAUCGGGAACUGAUGUGUGCCAGCCAUGGGCAGUGAGGGAAAGGAUAAAGACUGACUGCCUGAGCUACCUGAGGAAAUCCCCCAAGGUCUCUUAUUAGGUGUACA